AUUAAGUGUGUGCAACGUUAAAUCCAUUAAACACUCGUCAGUCACUUGGAGCGCUUCCGGUAAUUUAUUCACGGAGUAGAAGUCAUCGUGGGUUUUCAUUAGGUUUAAAAAAUCGCUGGAUAUAAUAUAUUUAUUUUAUAUUACUAAAUAUAAGCGACUAAUAGUCUACGACUUGUCAAACUGUCACUAGAACCGACUCCCGCAUCUAAUCGAAAACUUGACUAUAUACUUAAGUUAAGGUUUGGCACUAUUUGUUGUGAUUAAUUUAAUCCAAAAUUAUGUUUCCCAAUUGAUAGGAACUACCUUUAACAUCCCUUUCCAUAAAGAUUUGCUUUUACAUUAUGACUUACAAAUAAAGCAAUAACAAAACAUUAACUAGACAUGAACAACACAACCAAAACUAUUACACAAAUAAUGCUCGAAAGGCAGUACCUACCAACAACUACUAAGUUUACCGUCGUUGAGCAUGAUGCGUCACCUUUGCAGAGAUUUUAGGAGUAAAUCUUUUAUUGGAUUUUUGCCAAUAUAGCAAGUCUAUAUUUGCUCUUGAAAUCGAGAUUAAUAAGCGACUUAUAUUUUUUGUGAUUAAUUAUUGAUAUUUAUUUUAGGCCGUUUGCCUUUAAAAUGGAGCUUGAAAGCAAUAAACUUGCUUUAAUUUGAUAUUUGUAGGUUAUGUUAUGUUGUCUUGUAAUAAUUUAAGAUUUUUUAAGAAAGAAUUUAGUUUUUGAUUUUUUAGAAAUAACUUGACGUGCCAAUGUGUACAUCGACCAAAAACCGACAUACACGGACAAAACACUGGCCAAGAGGGAUCUGGAUCUGAAAGAAUGCAUCAUAUUUUAUGCCCAAUAUGCACAGACUGGACUAUUUCUUUUUUACUUCAUACAGACUUAAUUAAACAUUUAAAUUCUUUUCAUAGCUUAACUAUUAAUGAAUCUAUUUUGCAUUUUAGGAAUUUUGAAGAGUUUUCAGCUUGGAGGACCCAAGAGAAUAGGGAAGUAAAUUAUGCUUGCCAUACACGAAAAAAAUAUCAACAUGGUGAAGAAAAAAUAUUUUAUUAGUGUAACAGAAGUAAUUACAAAGGAUUUGUCAGCUCAGCUAAAAAACGAAGUGUGAAAACUGGAGGUAGUAUUCAUAUUCAUGGGACAUGUCCUUCAAGAAUUGUAAUUAACAUUUCAACUGAGGGAUUUGUGACGGUAAAGUUUGUUGAAAAACAUGAACACUGAUGAACUAAGGACCAAGAGAUUAUCAAAAGCUGAACAGGAGACUAUCGUCGAAAACGUGCAUAUGAUGUUACCCAUUUUAUUCAGGAAAUGAAGCCCAUGUAGACACUAUUGCAUUUGAAGAUAGGCGACAGGUCAUCUUGCAAGAAAUGAAAAGCUUUGCUCUCAGCUUGGACGAAGAUUCUUUUGGGAAAUUUGUUGAUAUUUUUAGGACAUUUGAGAGGAACACAGAACAACGAAAUUCCGAGGAAAAUUCGAAAAAAAGAAAAAAUUGAGAAGCAAACAUAUUAUCCUAAUAAAAAAUAAUUGCAUACUUUAAUCAGUGUGUUAUUUAUUGCAUAAUUUUUAAUUAAUAAAUAAUAAUUGUAUGAUAUAAGAUGUAAAUAAACUUUAUUGUCAUAUUUUAUAAGUCAAUUUACCCUCAAAAUACAAAUAAAACCAA